AUAUGUACCAGCCUGCCACCGUAAAUGCGUAACCUGCUGGACCAGAUGGUCUGUUACACAGAACCAUCUGUGAAGUCAUCAUUGAUGGUUGAGAAAGCAUUAACUACUCUGUAUGAGGUUUGGCAUUAUGCAAAUGAAGAAAGGAUAAUUACCAAUCGUCAAUUCUCUUUUCAUCAGCAUCCAUCCAUUGCCAUCCAUUAUACCUAGUGGAGUCACAAGGGAGAAUCCCCACUAUCUCCAGUGGGCAACGGCUCAC